rnacentral:rRNA from 1 species
AGCAGCCGCGGUAAUUCCAGCUCCAAUAGCGUAUAUUAAAGUUGUUGCAGUUAAAAAGCUCGUAGUUGAAUUUCGGGGUUAGUAGGUUGGUCAUGCCUCCGGUAUGUACUGGUCUCACUGAUUCCUCCUUCCUGAUGAGCCGUAAUGCCAUUAAUUUGGUGUUGCGGGGAAUCUGGACUGUUACUUUGAAAAAAUUAGAGUGUUUAAAGCAAGCUAACGCUUGAAUACAUUGGCAUGGAAUAAUGGAAUAGGACGUUCGAUCCUAUUUUGUUGGUUUCUAGGAUUGACGUAAUGAUUAAUAGGGAUAGUUGGGGGCGAUUAGUAUUCAAUUGUCAGAGGUGAAAUUCUUGGAUUUAUUGAAGACUAACUACUGCGAAAGCAUUUGCCAAGGAUGUUUUCAUUAAUCAAGAACGAAAGUUAGGGGAUUGAAGACGAUCAGAUACCGUCGUAGUCUUAACCAUAAACUAUGCCGACUAGGGAUCGGAUGAUGUUAAUUUUUUAAUGACUCAUUCGGCGCCUU